CAACCUUUUACUGCUUGCUAAUUAACACCUAGGUCACUUUCAUCUUUCCCAACCUGGAUCUAAAGCCACUCCUGGAGGAGCAGUUGCUCUGGAUGAGAGAAGACUUGGUCAUUAACAUGUCCCCUGACAUCUGUGAACUUCUAUUAACUUAGGGGUUCCUUCUAUCUUUUUCUGCUAUUUCUAUGGUGCCAAGGAGUGGGGGAGAUACCCCACAGAGUUAAAGAUAAAAGAAUCAUAAUUGAGAAGUCAUCAAAAGAAAUAGGACUUACCAGGUGACUGAGGAACUGAAAACAGUCCACUGGCAAAAAGGCUCCAUUUCAUGAAGGCCAAUGCUGCCAGCCGCCAGCCUGACAUUCAGCUGACAAGAUGCUAAUCUGCACUAUCACAAACACAGCUGGGCAAGAGAGCCUGGGAAGAUUUUCCUGAAAAACCCUUCACUGACUGUUUUCAGCUAUCCAGGCACUGAACUAGAUGUGACAUAUACGGAGGAAAGUAAGUCAGUCUAUGGCCUCAAGCUUACUGUAUACUGGGAUGACAGACACACAAUAAAAAUACAAAAAAAAAAGAAGCCUGUAUAAAACAAAAUGGAACACCAAUAUUCAUAGUGGCACUAUUUGCAAUGGUCAUAUGUGGAACCAACCCAAGGGCCCACCGAUAGAUGAAUGGAUAAACAGAAUGUGCUACAUUUGUAAAAUGGCCUAUUAUUCAGCCUUAAAAAGGACAUUCUGACACAUACAUCAACAGGGGCAUGAUGACUCGAGGAGAAAAGACACAGAAGCCAGCUUCCAGCAGGUUACGUGCGGGGGUAAGGAUGGAGGGUUUCCCUCCACCCCCACCCCCCAUCAUUCCUCCCUGCAGGCAGAGUGACAGAGACCCAGAGCUAUUCCCAAACAUCUGAAAACCAUUUAUAAAAAACUGAGGUUACUACAAAUAAAGACGCUUCAAG